rnacentral:lncRNA from 1 species
GUUGCUUCUGGAAUCAUCAGCUGAAGCGGCAGGAGGAAGGUGCCAGGGAGAACAGAGUGUCGUUGAGCCGUUCGGUUUUCACCUCGGACUUCCCAGCAGCUGUAAGGCAGACCCCACUCUACAGCUGAGGCAGCCGCAAGCAGAGCCUUGCUGGGCCUCACCCCUGGAAGAGGGGGUGCAGUAGCCCAUGGAGCCCACGCUGAAUGCCCUACAGCUGGGGGUCCACUUCCCUGAUGCCUGUGAAGACAUUGCAUUCUCAUUUAUUGCCUUUUCACCAGGUAGAAACUCCAGUCUUAAAAAGAAAUCCCUUUCUUUUCAGUUUGCAGAGUGGUGUCUAGAUUACGGAGCACACGGGUGCCGCAUUCCUGACAGACCCUAUUCGCUCUUUGAAGGCAUGGCUGGCGCUAUUCACUUUCUCUCUGAUGUCCUGGGACCAGAGACAUCACGGUUUCCAGCAUUUGAACUUGACUCUUCGAAGAGGGAUUAAAAGGUGCAAAAAGACAACUAAAAUACCCAUUUGGACCAAAAGCCACCAGAUUGCUUAGUGCCUGACACAGAAACAACUGGGAAUCC